rnacentral:rRNA from 1 species
GACGUAGGGCGCGAGCGUUGUCCGGAUUUAUUGGGCGUAAAGAGCUCGUAGGCGGCCUGUUGCGUCCGCUGUGAAAUCCCGGGGCUUAACCCCGGGCUUGCAGUGGAUACGGGCAGGCUGGAGGCAGGCAGGGGAGAGUGGAAUUCCCGGUGUAGCGGUGAAAUGCGCAGAUAUCGGGAAGAACACCCGUGGCGAAGGCGGCUCUCUGGGACGGUACUAACGCUGAGACGCGAAAGCGUGGGGAGCGAACAGG